rnacentral:snRNA from 1 species
GGAUGUAAGGGCGAUCUGGCUGGGACAUCUGUCACCCCACUGAUUGCCAGGAUUGACUUGGCUGAUCUGGCUAGCUAGGUGGGCACCCCCUUUCUCCCUCACUGCUCUCUGUGUGUUUCUCUGGAAGCUGCAUGCUCAGUGGAAGAGAAUGACCAUUCCUGCUAGUGGAGGACCGUUCUUCGGUCAAGGAUCUACAAGUCGCUGCACCCCUCUGACAGACCCUCUAAAUAAUUUCUGAAGUAAAAAUGUGAUACUACUUUAAAAUAUGGGCCAAAUGGAAUGAAUGUAUAUGGUGCAGUGAGUU